CCCCAGCUGUUGUUGGACUCCAACUCCCAUCAUCCCUGACCACUGGUCCUGCUAGCUAGGGAUGAUGGGAUUUGCAGUCCAGCAACAGCUGGGG